rnacentral:rRNA from 1 species
GACGAACGCUGGCGGCGUGCCUAAUACAUGCAAGUCGAGCGAAUGGAAGGGAGCUUGCUCCCUGAAGUUAGCGGCGGACGGGUGAGUAACACGUGGGCAACCUGCCUGUAAGACUGGGAUAACUUCGGGAAACCGGAGCUAAUACCGGAUACGUUCUUUCCUCGCAUGAGGAAAGAUGGAAAGAUGGUUUCGGCUAUCACUUACAGAUGGGCCCGCGGCGCAUUUGCUAGUUGGUGGGGUAAUGGCCCACCAAGGCGACGAUGCGUAGCCGACCUGGGAGGGUGAUCGGCCAGACUGGGACUGAGACACGGCCCAGACUCCUACGGGAGGCAGCAGUAGGGAAUCUUCCGCAAUGGACGAAAGUCUGACGGAGCAACGCCGCGUGAGCGAAGAAGGCCUUCGGGUCGUAAAGCUCUGUUGUCAGGGAAGAACAAGUGCCAGAGUAACUGCUGGCACCUUGACGGUACCUGACCAGAAAGCCACGGCUAACUACGUGCCAGCCGCCGCCGUAAUAC